rfam:Butyrivibrio fibrisolvens DSM 3071 genome assembly, contig: EJ22DRAFT_NODE_2_len_199_cov_61_010052.83
AUCCAGAGUAGGACGAGACACGUGAAACCUUGUCUGAAUGAGCGGGGACCACCCCGUAAGGCUAAAUACUACUUAGUGACCGAUAGCGCAUAGUACCGUGAGGGAAAGGUGAAAAGGACCCCGGGAGGGGAGUGAAAGAGAACCUGAAACCCUGUGCCUGCAAGCUGCGAAAGCUCUAUAUACGAGUGAUCGCGUACUUUUUGUAGAACGGUCCGGCGAGUUAUGUGUACCGGCAAGGUUAAGUAUCUAAGAUACGUAAGC